rnacentral:rRNA from 1 species
CCCUACGGGAGGCAGCAGUGGGGAAUUUUGGACAAUGGGCGCAAGCCUGAUCCAGCUAUUCCGCGUGUGGGAUGAAGGCCCUCGGGUUGUAAACCACUUUUGUAGAGAACGAAAAGACACCUUCGAAUAAAGGGUGUUGCUGACGGUACUCUAAGAAUAAGCCACGGCUAACUACGUGCCAGCAGCCGCGGUAAUACGUAGGUGGCAAGCGUUAUCCGGAUUUAUUGGGCGUAAAGGGAACGCAGGCGGUCUUUUAAG